rnacentral:rRNA from 1 species
UACGGGGGGAGCAAGCGUUGUUCGGAUUUACUGGGCGUAAAGGGCGCGUAGGCGGCGCAACAAGUCACUUGUGAAAUCUCCGGGCUUAACCCGGAGCGGUCAAGUGAUACUGUCGUGCUAGAGUGCGGAAGGGGCUACUGGAAUUCUCGGUGUAGCGGUGAAAUGCGUAGAUAUCUGGAGGAACACCGGUGGCGAAGGCGACGCCUGGACCGGCAUUGACGCUGAGGCGCGAAAGCCAGGGGAGCAAACAGG